UUUUUUUUUGGUAAAUUGAAGAAUGAAGAUAUACAAUUGAAAGCAUAGUUAGUAGAAUAUUUUUCAUAACAAUAAGGCACCUCUGCCAUGGCAUUCGUUAUGACAUCUGGAAUGGGCUCCGUGGUGUCACCUAUCCCAAGGCUUAUAAUCUUAGCAUCAGGGUACUUCAGCAAAUGAGCUGCUCUUCUCCUGGCAAUCUGAUUGACAGUCAACAAAUAGACAUUAUCAGAAGCCAAAUCUACAACAGAACAGCGUCAACAAGGAAAAGAAAAGAUGAGAAUGAAGCAUAACCUCAGGAAAUAAAUAUCCUGCUUGGAGCUUGGCCAUGUUAGCAUUGCGCGGGACACUAGUCUUGUAAGCUUCAGGACAUGAGUAAAAAAAUAUUAGCAUUUAGCAAGCAACACCACCCUUAUUUCUGUUCCUACAACAUCUCCAGGCAACUCUUUACAUGAAAGCAACAGUAGCCAAACAAGAAGCUACUACAGCGUGCAGCAACCUAGAACAAUACCCUAAUUCGAACCAGCACUUGUAGCAUUCGAUUGGAUGCCUCAAACGAAAACUAAUAGAGACUAGACCUGACACAUGAAUUUCUGCGAGCAGGAUGGAAACUAUCAGCGAUGAAGUAAACGAGGGGCUUGAUAGUUACAUGUAUCGACGGCCGGCGGGCUACUGACGCAGCGGACAGUGACAGACAUUCUCCCCGCGGGUCGGCGGUGGAUGGUCUCCAAUGACCUGGAACUGGAAGGGUGCCACGGUUAGACGUAUCCAUUGGGUUAACAAGGACACGCACCGUACUGUAGGAAACGGGGGGCAGUCGGGUACUUGAGAGGUAACGAAGACGAAGAGAGGAAGGAGGAGGAGGGCGCGGUGGUGGCGGGGGCACCGGUGGGUGCUGCCAUGGCGACGGCAGGAGAGGCGGCGGCGGCGGAGGAGGAGGAGGAUUGGUAGGGUGAUGAGUGAGUGAAGGAGCCGUGCAGAGCCCACCUGAGUGAGGCAACAAGACCGACGAGAAUUAGCCUCACGCGGGCCAGUCCAUUUUGGUUUUGGCCCAACUCGUACGUGCACGAAAAGAGGCCCGUCUAAAAGAAUCCAUCCUUCCAGACCUGAGGGAUCAGGCCCAGCUAGCUCAUUCAUGAUGACCCAACUGUGGACUGACGGAGCGGCGGGAGCCGCAGCCUCCUCCUCCUAGCAAAAUUAUCUAUUAUCGCAAAUUCGCAACAAGAAUCGAUAACCCUACGAGGCUACGAUUGAAAAGUUCCUCUUUCGAAAAUAAAAUUGCAAUUGAAAGAUUUUAAAUUAGGUCAACUACCUAUAAACUUGUCUUGGUUUGAACAGAAACUCAGCUCUCCAGAAGAGUCACAUUUGUGACAGAAUCACAGAAGAGUAGGCGCAAGUUCUAACCUGACAGGCUGACACUCCAAUACUGGUGUCAUACCUGUAGCCGUAGGCUGUAGCAAUGUAGCAUUGUCGAAGGAGCUUAGGAGCAGAAGCAGCUCAAUCAAAGCUCCCAUGACAAAACAGGUCAUCUAGACAGUGAGAUUCUCCGCAGGAUAAGGCAGAAUUUCAGGGAUGUGCUGAGGCAUUUCAAUUGACCUCAAAAUUCGGGUAAGUUUGUACAAAUCAGGGCCAGGAGCCUGUAGCCUAAUACACUUAACACAAGGCAAACAGAAGUAUGGUUUUGCCACGCUCGAGAUUCUGUAAAGUUUCAUCUAACAUUUGCCCGUGACAAAAGCUGGGAUCAGUUUGGCUGUAGGAUCCAAAGGAUGAAGGGACGCCAUGGAUGGCCUUAUUAUUUCAACAGGAAAAUUACAGAAUGCCUCUGACAGAAAACUGAUGGUAUGCCGAGUGUCAGCACCGUUUGGUACAGGUCUGGAUAUUUAAUCACGGAAUUCAUCCAUGAACUUCUCGUGGAACUCCUUGAACCUAGAUAUGAUUGCUGGUAUUUUGUCCUCCUGCGGCAAGAUCGUGCAUCUGAAGUGCCAUGUUCCAGGGACCUUCACAGUAUCACAUUGUUAAAAUCGUACAGAAAACGUAUCAGUGCAAGCUCAUUGACGCUUGGAAUUGACAAAGAUUUUUCACGAGGCAUUUAAGAUUACCAACCUGUCCAAAACCAGAACCAGGGACUACGACAAUUCCUGUGGCUUCUAGGAGGCGUUUGGCGUAGUAUGCAUCUGGGGGAGUGCCAGCAGCUUGGGCAGCCCCAAUUGCCUUCUGGGGUAAAUGAAGGCGUGGGAACAGAUACAUUGCACCCUCAGCUUUGUUGCAUGUGAUACCUUCUAAACUAUUGAAUGCUUCUUCCAAAGCCUGUGAGAAAGAAGAAAAUGUAACAAUCAGGUACUUUAAAACAUCUUUAAGCUGGUUUGCCUCCUUAGCUUGCAUAUGUGAACUCCUUAGCUUGCAUAUGUGAAUUGACUAGAGGUUGCAAUCUUGCACCCACUGUUUGUUCUAGCUACUGUUCCAGUAUUAUGGAUACUUUCAUAAGACACAUAACAUGGAACGGAAAACAUCGCCAAUACAUUUAAACUUGCACUUUCAGCCUGUUUUUCUGUUUACAAUUAAUCAAUUUAGAAGCGGCAGAAGAAGCACAAACCUUUGCACGCCGAGCCAAUGAUGAAAGGAUGCCAUCCCUCUCUACCAUGAAGGAUUCAAAGGAUUCAUCCCCAGUCUGUGGAGGUAGAAAACAUCUUAGUUACUGCCAUCAUUAUUGUACUUGAAUGUUUCCUAAGCAUCAUAUACUGACCUUUGGUGGGUUCAUAACAAGGCUAGCAAGAAUUUGGCCUGAGACAUUGGAGCAUAGAUUUACUGAUGCCACCUUGUAAAUCUGUUCCCGCACUUCAGGACUGAACCCAGUUAUCUCCAUGUAACCACCUCGUUUUCCACAUUCUCCAUAGUAGCCUAGCAGGACAAAGAGUAAGUUUUACCAUAAACUAGGAGAGGCAAAUAAAAAAGAACCACCUGAGUUUGAUUUUGAUUACCUUUAGAAACCGACUGGAAUGAUGCUAAAGGAAGAUCAUCAUCAGUGUAUCCCAAUGAUCGUGCAAUUUUUUUGAAUGAGUGGAAUUGCUUGUCUUCAACAUAUAUAUUUUCUUGGUAAACCUAGAUGGGAGAUGGAAAAAUAAGUGGUCUUAGUAGACCUACACGGUUUAGGUAUUUGAAUACCUCAUGUGUAUUGACAUGGUGAAAACUUCAAAUACAAGUUCUGGAUCACCUCAUCUGCAAGAAGAACAAGUCCUUCAUUUUUACAGAAUUCAACAAUUUUCUUUUGGUUUUCCUCAGCGAGAACCUGUUGAGAGCACAGUAGUGUUAGGUGAUCACUGUACCAAAACAAUUCUUGUAAUAAAAUGGGAGAGAGCAUAGGUUCAAAUUCAUCGGUUAUUGCUGCAUGUCAAAAAAUUAUAACCUGCAAUACAUUAUGAGGUAUAAAUAUUCAUAAUGAGAAAAACAUGCAAGAUCUGUCUUUUUGCAUGUAACAGAUAGACAAAAAAUCACCUGUCCAGUUGGAUUUCCAGGAUUUAUGACAACAAGCGCCCUGACAGUGAUGCCCUUAGAUCGAGCCUCCUCAAGUUGUUUCUUUAGCUCAUCAACCUCAAGUCCCCACCCUGUCUCUUCGUCAAGGAAAUAAGGAACCUGAAAGAGAAUUUGUUCCACAUUAUUUUCAGACAUACAGAUCAUGUCACUGAAAGUUCACUAUGUUAGAACCAUAUAACAAUAGCCAUAUAUACAAAGCAAUGCUGACUGGUGAUGAUCAAUUCAUUGAUCAUUAUGAAAUGACUAUAUUGAACUUAAUGAAUUACAUGAAGGAUUUAACUCGAUUAUCUCCUGAAACUGCAAGAUGAGAUGACAUUGGUCUGAUUCAACAAGCAACACCGAAAAGCAUAAAAGCAUUGUCAAAGAACAUACAAGGGAACCACCAUGAAGAGCAAUUGAUGCAGAGUACAGCGGGUACUGCGGAAUAGGGCAGAGAAUGCCAUCCUUCUCAGACCUAAUCAACAAUUGCAUCAUCAUGUGAACCUAGUUGAGAAAAGAAAUUACACUGUAUCAGUAAUGGUGGCAGGCUUUAUUCACAUGCACAGACAGCCAAUUAUCGGUAGUUAGAACAAUCAGUCCUUAUUCCACAUAGAUGGAUUACUGAUGAUCAAAGAAGACAUAUAUAACAUACUGCUGGGCUUGCUCCAUCUGUUAGGAAGAUGUUGUCUCCGCUGGCAUGAAACCCAUCACGGGCAGCAAUUCCAGCAGCAAUUUCAUCACGCAAACCUUUUAUACCCUGAAAUAGAGAGCAACAUGAAUGAUCAAGCUCAUCCAAUCAUGGUGGUAUUCAUCCAAGAGUGUAUACAUAUGUACCUGACUAUGGCUAUAGGCUCCCGUUGCUCUUCCUGGUAUCUUGUCUAGAAUUUGCCAUGCUCUCUCUAUAGCAUCUGAACUGUACAAAGACAUAUAAAUCAACAUUCUAGGCUGGCGAACAAAUAUGUGUAGUUAGACAACUACCUAACACCUAAAUGAUCAUAAUCUUUUGUAGGAAAGCUGUUUAAAAUCAACGUGUCCAUAUGCGAAUAUUCCGUUAGCAUGCAACGUUAGCAAGACACUACAGAUGGCAGUUUCUACAGAUUCAUAGAUAGAAAGAAAAGCUCAAGUGCUUGUGAGCCAAACAGAUUGCACGUAAUUUGAAAACUACCUUAUACUUGCUAUAGAGGUUGAGUUCUUAAUUAUCAUGAAUCAUAACUUCAUGUGUGCACCACAAAAGAAAAUGUAUUUAAAAGAUCAAGCAAGUCCUUUUGUCCCCAUAUCAAGAGCAGGCACACAAGUGGUAAUGCUGAGCAACUCCACCUCUUAAUAUUAUUUCUUACAUACUGACACAUGCACUAAAAACCUGAUACAGAAAGUUGGUCCUCUUUAUUUAGAUUAUUAUCAGGCAGGUGGCAUAGCAUAUAGCAGUAAGUCAACUAACAAAAAAAAAGUCAACUACAGUUGGGGGUACCCUUCACUAUACUUGCCACAAAAAAGUCAGCUAACCAAUUAGUAUUAAUUUACUUGUGCUCAUCUCAUAUGGAAUGCUUCAACGUACCUGUACAAAGCAUGAGUUUCACUUUUGUCCAAGAGAGCUGGAUGAUCACACAAAGAGAGGACCUGUAAAAGAGCAACAUGAGCUAGUAAAGAGCCAUGAACCAAGCUUUCAUCACCGAAUAACUACAGCGAAUACAAACUCACUUCUCUGAAAUAUGUAACUGGCUGUUGGCCAAGGGAUUGAGGAUUUCCAAUAUUGCAGUAAAGUAUCUGCCAUUAAAAUAGAUAGAUGUAAUUAACUCCAAUUGAUCAUCGAAAGCAGUAAGAGCAGAGAUUUAGUUGAUGGGAUCCAAAAUACAAACCUCAUCAAAAGGAAGUGAAUCUGGGUUUUUCUGCAAUUCUUGUUGUAAGUUCUGUAGAGGGAAAACAAGAUCAUAAACCGAGCCCAACAGAACCCUAUUACAAAUAAUUUCUAGAUAGCGCAGGCCUAUUUCACAUAAAUAUAAGGCUAUGAUGUGAAUAUACAACAUCAACAUCCACCCUGAUCCUGAACUAACUUGUUUCUCCCAACAUAGAAAAAAACUCGACCUCAGGGGGAAGACGCCCCCGGGCUUUGUCUAAAGAAGGGGUACCAGGCUUUGAGCAUGGACUGGCAAGGGGGUUUCAACCAUAGUUAUUAGGAUAGGACCGGACCGGACCGGACUGGCAGUUCGAUCGGCAAAAGACCGAACCAGAGCCUCCAGUGGUUUGGUUCGCUUAAAAGACUGUCUCUGCAAUAAUACCGGUAAAAAACGGUUGAACUGGCCAGUUUUGUACAGAACCGGCGAACCGGACGGUUCUGUAUGAACCGGACGCGUUUUGCUUCUUGCCCUCAGGUUCUCUCACGUUGGCCUUGGCCAACCGAAGGCCCAGCCCAAGCAUUCCUUCGGCUUCUAAAAUCCCAUUGAAAAAUCUCUGCUCCGCUCAAUUCUUGCGCUUGCACGGCGGCGGCGGCGCAUCCCGAUCUGCGAACAGGCCGGCAGGCUGGCGGCGCAUUGCAAGCAGGUGCGCGGAAUCCCUUUCUCCUCCUUUCUCCGCCCUGUUCUUUGCCGGCGGCGGGCUGCAACUUUGCAGCAGUGCAGGAGUCAGGCGGCCGGCAAGCUGACAGGCAGGUGCUCAGGCUCCCCCGCCGUGCGCGAAAAGAAGGAGGGCGCGCAAGGGGACAGCAUCCAUGUAGCGGCCGGUGACGAGCGCAUCCAGCAGCGAGUUAUCGUUGGCAGCUGCGGCUCGUCAUCCUCCUACUACGACCUUCUUCUAUGUUUGGGUUUUCAUUUUUUUUCCCCUUUUGCAGUUCAGUUGUUUUUCUAAACAAUAAUCAGAUUCAAGUUCAACAUGUACCAGCAGACUACGAUUCAUGAAUUUCUGCUGGCAGCAGCAGACGAGAAUCUCACAAUCCUUUUCAUUGUUGUUGAUCUUUUUUCUCUACCCGAAUCUAUUUCGUGAUCAAUAUUUUGCUUGCAUUCAUUUUAAUUCAGAAGCUUGUGUGAGGCUGAGCUGCAAUUAGGAAUCACGUUUGUAAAAAAUUGCUGAGUUACCAAACUUAAUGGUAUACUAGUGUUCAGUUGUGUGGUUAUAUAUAAUUAAGUUGUGUUAUUUAUGAGCUAUAUAUAUGGUACCGGUCCUAUGUAUUUGUAUCCGGUUCAAUUUAACGGUCCAAAACUAUUGAACCAGCUGUCAAUCGGUUCUUGACGGUUGAACCAGUGAACCAUCGAACCGAGGGCCUUACCGGUUCGAUGACCAGUCCGGUCCUAAUAACUAUGGUUUCAACAACCCCCCGAGUUCACUGCUCUAACCAGUAUAACUCACGAGAAGCUGGAUUUCUCCCAACAUGGAGUAGCAACUGAUUUUAUUUUGAAUUAAGAACACGGCGUAGCUAUGAACAUCUCCUUCAAGACAACGAAAGUUACUACGGUUAUUGAAUUUUAGAAUGCUUUUCGUAUUGGACGCACCUGAGCAUGUGUAACAAUCUCUCCUCGAACUGCAUAUUCACACUUCAAAACCUGAAGAAACAUAGCAAAUCAUAUCAACUGGGGAAGAUACAGUUCGCCGAUUAAAGCAAACAAAUUGCAUUUUAGAAGCCGCAUUACUACUAGCACCCCUCCCAGUACUGCGUAGAUGUAAGCAUUUUACUUCCAUCAAAUUCUCUGGUACACGUCCACACUCCUAUCGCACGGGUACAAACGCAGCAGCAGUCCAGUAGGAACAGAACAGAGUAAGGAGCAACCCAAGGGCAAGCAAACCAGCAACCUCGAACAGGGAUCGAAACUUUGUAUCCUCGCGCUAAUCGAUCACAUGACUGCCACACGACCAAGCUAAACAAACGAAUCGAAGAAGGGGGUCAAAAGGCGGCACGCCGGCACCUUGGGGUUGAUGGUGUCCAGGGACACUGCGGGCGUGCCCGCGGCCGCCGUGGACAUGGUCCUCGCCAUGGCCGCCGCCAUCGCCGCUGCCCCCAUGGGGGGCGCUGGAUGGCGCUGCGCCGGAGCGAGGGGCAACGGCAGCGGGGCUGUUCUGGAGGAGGAGGCGGCGCCGCGCAGGGACGCGGCCACCGCGCGGCGCGCCCUGUCGGCGGCGAACCGGCGCAUGGCGGGCUGGCGGCGGCGAUGCGCGGAUGGCGACCGACGACAGCGAUGCGGCCGACGACGGCGCUCGCGGAGAGUAAGGGUGCGUGAUGGCGUGAGGCUGACGUGGGUAGGUGGGAGGAAGGCAAGUGUGAAUCUCUUUCUCGACAGGGCCUCCGUUUUUCCGCUCGAGCGAUUUUUGCGUCUCCGGCAAGAAAACGAGACGCUCCCGCCCCGUAGAAAUUGCUUGACCAAAAAGACAAGCCGUUUUGGAAUUCUUGCUUGACUUAGGGCUCAGCGUGUAGGCUGCAUUAUUAUUGCAGUAUAAUAACCAAUACAUGGUGGAGAGAUCAAAGUGUAGAAGGAGGCUCCGGCCAAUAUUUUCAGGUAAAGUACUUGGUUUCUGUAGAACCUUGCUUUAGACAAAAUGUGAUCCUUCAAAAUUAUUCCCCCUUUCAAAUUAUAGGUUAUUUUAAUUUUUCUAAUUUUAUAAAUGUUGCAUAUAGAAAAGUUAUUUUGAUUUUUCUAGUUUUAUAAAUGUUGCACAUAGAAAAGUUAAAAGGACGUGCAAUUUGAGAUGGGGAGAGUAAUUCGCCUCAUUCGCUAUGCGUUUUCUAGUUUGGCUCAUAUUAAAAUUAAAAAAUGUUCAGAUUUUGCAAAGCCAAAAACCUUUUUUUUUUACGAAGAACGAGGUUUUAUGCACGAUGAACGUUUACAGACUCCACAAAAGCCUACUUUGACAGAGCAGAACUGCUGAUAGUGCCUGGUCAACUCCUCCUCGCAAAGAAAAAAGAGCUGGUCAACUAACAUGGUGAGCCGGCCAAGAAAGAAUUAGCAGCGCAGGGCCCAAAAGCCCGCAAGCCCUCCUAUUUUCAGCUUCAGCCUGCGGCCCGUGGAAACUGUUUCCGAAGCACGGGCCGCCACACGCGCAGCAUGGCGGCACUCUUUCUUUUAUCUGCGCUGGCCCAUCCGGGAGAGCGUAAGCCCUCUCUGGCCCGCCGAGCAAGCGAGCAACUCGCAUGCCGUGCCCGAUGCCCCCGGCGCCGUCUGCGAACGCGUCACGCUCACCCGAAUCCGCUCGCACCACGACGCGGACGCCUCCUAUCAGCGUUGCUGCCGACCUGGCGGCCAUGCGGCGCUGUGGCGGCCGCUCCCUCCACACGCCGCGCCGCCAACACGAGCUCCACGGACCACGGCUCCACCUCCACCAGCCAUCGCGCGUCGCGACCGCCGCCUGGUGCCACCUGGAUCAGGAUCACGACCCGGACUAAUUCCACUCUCCAUUCGCCCCUUGUACCUGGCGCGCCGCUGGCCCGUGCACGCCUCGCCGCGCAUCCGCAUGCCCGCCGCGUACCCCGUCCACGUGGACGGCUCUUCUUGUUCUUCUCCUUGCAGAAAAAGAUCUUGCGCCAGCUUUGCGAAAGGAAGCUUCGGAACCGCAGCCAGCCGCUCUCGGCUUCCAGAAGAGCAUCCCCCGUCUGGUGUGCUGCAUCAUCCAUCAUGCGACCAUAGCUGGACCGGUACUAGAUUUCUCCGGAACGCUUCGCCCGCCGUCGUCGAGACAGAGUGUUGUACUCUCCUAUAGGGGAGGAGUAUUCUGCAAGACCACGAGUAUUCAAUUCCCAAAUUCCUAACAAAUUCCGAGACUAAUUCAGGCAGCCAGGCAGGCACUUGAUGAGUUGAUGUCCCCUUGACGACUUGACGCAUCAGUGUUUUGCACUGCCUAAUGCGAUGUCAAGGCAAGCAGAAGCCCUAAACAACAGGCUUUGGGGGCUUUGACCCAUCAUUGUCUGCGAGCGGCGCCAGCGCCCGCAAAAGGGGCGUCCUGGGAAUCAGGCAAUCAGCGUGCAUGUCCGCCGAGGUGUUGGCCAUCAUUUCAGAAUUCAGAGGCUGCUGCUGCCAUGCCUGUGUCCCCGUGCGUCUGUUUGUUGUUUUCAGUUCCGCUGCACAUGCCUGCAACCGUACCCUGCUUUCAGGGUAAAAGGGAGGAGAACAAAGGCAAUUCUCGCGUGCGCUGCACACGAUGACACGAGAGCGUAUGCGAAUUGUAUAUACCAUUGGCAAGGAUUCGGUCGGAAUAUUCAAAGUCAGAUUUAGUACGUGUCAGCGCAAACAAGUGUUAUCCUCCUUUGAAAGCAGAAAUAUUGCAAGAAUUUCUUACAGGAGUCUGCCUGAUUUCAUUAAUAAGGACUAUGAUGGUAUGAAUUUAUUGAUCAUGUCAACUUGAUGCCAAUGACAUGAAAUUCAGUUUCAAAUGGUCCUAGUGCGAUGGUAUGGUCUAAUUCUCCGCGCCACGAACUGCCUGUACGCUGUCUCAGAGAGUCGAGAGUAUAGUAUAUACUUGUAUCCCCAUACUACCGCUGCAAGUUCCUGGCAAAAAAAAAAAUCCAUCCGAACCGCAACUAUUUGACUAUUUCCCGGUCAUCUUUGUCCGGCUCAAACAAUGUUCCAACUGCUGCAGCGUUCCCGCGUGCAAGCAUGCCCAACUCGGGACAGCGACGCGAAAUUUGGAUAAGGGUUAUCGCAAAUCAUCUCAUCUUCGUGGAGAUAUUAUUAUCCAUCGCUCACUCGCACGCCCGGAAUCUCAAGCUGAUUUCGCCCGCUGCCACAUCUUUAGAAUUAGAAUCUUCCUCCGCAGAGGACAGCACCGGAUUACGAUGCAACACACAUCUAGAAGCAAGCUCCGGAUUAAAGCAAGGUGUUAACAAGAUCGGUAAGCAAGGGCAACAACGCAUCACCCAUUGAUCGCCCUGCAACUCUGAAAGCAUCUGAUUGCAGCACGUGUGUGGUCAUGUGGAAGUAAGGGUAGAGAAGGCUCUUCUUUGCGAGCAGGAUACUGGAUAAAUGUAUGCGAGCGAAUCCAUUAUGAGAUGAACAAAACCAAGCAGAAAAAGAAGGCAAAGAAAACGCAGCGGAUGAUGCUGAUGCAUAUGGACACAAAAAGCCAUUAGCAUCGCUGCUGAUGUGUGAGCGUUUGUCCCUGUGUGGCCUGGCGGCGAAAUCACUCUCUCUCUUCUUCUCUGAUCUGGAAGAAAAAUAAGAGAAGCAGAAAUUGGUCUGACGGCGAGCUACGGCACCAUGAGCGCGACACGUUGGUGGUGCCUAUCCGUUGUGGCGGUUUCGGUUGAGCAAACCCAUUGCAAGUUUCCUUCCUUGCAUCGAUCGUGGUGCGUCACGCUCAUAUCGUUUUGAAUUUUAAAUUUUAUUUUCCGGAAGAAAGUUUGGUAUCCUGAUUGAUUAUCAUACGGAGAAACUCGCACAGCGAUUGGCUGAUUGGCCAGCUCACAGAUAGAAAUCACUUGGACUAGCCCGCGUCGCUCUCCUGGCGACACGGGCGGCACCCAACUCACCACCGCCGUCGUUGCCCCUCCCCUCCCCACGCUCAUCCACACCUCGCCACCGCCUGAGCGGGGCUUCAAAAGCCCGCGUCCCUUCUAGGACAGCGGCAACGGGGUCGUUUCUCCGCGUCAGGUCUUGGCCAGCGCAGAUCUAGGAGCCGAAGGUCCGAGGCGGCGCACGAGCGCAGAGGGGCGCAGGCCCGGCGGUGGCUGCGGACGGCGACGCGAGGAACCGGGGCCGGCAGCUUGCGGGCGUGGUUGUGGCCGUGCCCUCCCCUGGUCAACGACGCGGUGGCACCGGGCAUGGAGGCGGUGGCGGCACCCCGGGGCGGCAGAUCAGGGGUCCGGUGGACCAGAUCCGACGCCCCAGGGCUGGAUCGGUGGGGUGUUGCUGCCGGUGGCGCUGGCCAUAGGCCGCACGCGUGGGGGGCUCGGCGAGGAAGGUGGCGCUCCAGCGGCUCGGCGGCGGAAGCACGUCUACGGCGACCACUGCGUAUGCCCGCGCGGAGUGGCGACAGCGGGGUGGUCUUAAAGGUGGACGGGCGGAGGGCCGGCACUAGCAGUUGCGAGGCGGCUCGGCACGGGUCAUGGAGGCCAAGUGGCGGUGGCCGGCGCGGCGGAUGCAAGAUGGCCGGCGUGGUGCCGAGGCCGCGCGGCGAUGGCCCAGGGCGAGGCAAGGAGGCCGCAUGCUAGCGGUGGCGGGGCGUUUCGCCGCGGCAUAAGGAGAUCGCGCGGCGGAGAGACGGCGUGGCGGUGGCCGCGUGCGAGGAGACGUGUGUGAUGGUUAGGCGGUGCAGCGGUGGCUACGUGUGAGAAGCAAAGGUCGAGUGGUGGUGCAUCGGGGCGGCGAGCGCAGCGGAGGUGGAGGUACGACGGCGUGGCGCGGGAGGCGCGGCGGUGGCGCUGCCCCAGAUGGGCCGCCGUGGUUGUGGUCCGAGAGUGCCGAGCCGUGAGCGUGCAGCGAGGGGUUGGGAUGCUCCGAGCGAAAGCCCUCAUCGGCGUUCUGUCUGCUGGAGAUGAAAGCGGCGCCUUAGGGCGUCGUUUUCCCUGUUGGGGGUGUCAUGCUGGAGCUACAACCCUGCUUCACGGGGUUCUCUUGGUGAAAACCCUGGACGAGCGGCGAUGGCGUCAUUGGCGUUAUGCACUCCUUGAAGGCGUUGUUUCUAGAGACCCAACACGAUUUGUGGUAUUGCUGGUCCAUUGGUCAUGGACGGCCGCAGCCGGUGGCGGCAAUUCUGCCGCGUGGCAAGCUGGACGGGUGCUGCCGAGCCCACAUGGAGGCGAUCGCAAUUAUGGUGGUAAUCAGUGCGGCAUGGGACUGUGUCAGAGGACGGUGCUUGCAGCAACGAUAUCGUGGGAUAACUAGGCUUGUAGCGGAUCGUGGCGGGGUGCUCAGCUUGGCUGUGCUAUCUGGUGCGGUACAUCGUCGAAAGACAGUGCAAGCGACUUCUCUGACUUGCUGACAUGGCGGCGGAGGCUAUGAGCAUGGUGAAGCAACGAGGCGAAGUCGACCUGCGACGGCGGCUUGGUUGAUCGAUGGAGAUCUUGGGAGCGGGGCAACAUUGCUCACCACUCUAACGGCAACAAAAAAACCGGAUCCUUCACGUUGAGUGCUGUGGCGGGCGUGGUGAGGCCCCGCACGCGUGGUGUUUUUUUCGAGGUGACGAGAGCGAGGUGGAGUUCAACGGCGGAUGUGGCGAGGCCCCCGCACGUUGUGUUAUUGUGGUGGCGACUGCGAGGCAUCUUACGAGAGGUCCGAAUUCGGUGGUAUCACUCUGUCAAGUGGAGUGUGGUGUUGCAGCGGUACUACGUCGGAGAGUCCCGUAUGGCGGUGGCCUUCUCGGUGCGAUGUCGUCUGCUUCUUUCGGUUCCCUGUCGACGCAGGAUCACACCUGGAGGUUUCGACGACUACAUGAGUGAGGAUGUUGGUGGGUGCCGCGGUAAGGCUUUGGUUCUGUUGCCGUUGUCGGGCGGAAUAAAAUCCGCUUGAGAAGUGUUGAGUUCGGCGCGUGUUGAUGUCCCAAUCCUACCGGUCGAAUGUGUUGUUUAGUUGAGGUUAGUGCGAUGGCGUGAUACGGCAUGUGUUGAUGACCCAAUUCAACCUGCCGGUAUUUGUGCCUUUGUUGUUUUCGCUCAGUCUGAACUUCAUCUUCUUAUAUUAAUAUAAUUGGCAGCUCCCUAAUUGGUUCGUUUCGGAAAAAAAAAAGACUGCCAGCUCAUAGAGCGUCUCCAAUUCGCUGGUGUUGCUGUUGUUGUUGCUUGUUCGGCCACCUGCCAGGCCCGGCCAUGCUUGCUGCUAACUCAACUAGUAUCUCUCCAGCCAGGUCAACUCCGCUUCCUUUGGAUUUGGACCUAAAAUUUGGAGCAUCCACAAGGCACUCACCCGCAAUGACGCAAUUACUCGCCAAAAUGUCUUGAAGACAAAAAAAAAAAAGCAGAUAUGCAAGCAAUUAUGCAGGAGCUCCGGCUCGAUUAUGGAUGGCUGCGCUGGAUUUUUCCGAGUGGUUGUUCAGACUGAUUAGUCGCUUGGGAGUGCAGAAUGUUUUCAAUGGAACUGGUGUUUUGUUAGUGCAUCAGGUGGCCGCGGUGGUUGGUGAUGGAAGGCCACCUGUGGAGUUCGAGGAACGGGAUGCAGUCACACCGGAGAUUGUUCUUCUCAGCUUGUCUGCCGUCAAAUCUGCAGUUUUGGCGGGUACGUGGGGUUGAGGACUUGAGGUCCCCUGCCUCCUGCCUCACAAAUGGUUGCACUGUGACUCGUUUCAAAUUUGUGGGCGAGAGAUGGGCGGCGAGGCGAGUUUGUUUCUUUGAUAGCGGCAGCUUGUGGUCAAAAUAGCAUCGACACGAAAGUCGACGGAUUGGGCAAGGUGAAUGUGAAUAUUCUACUGGCUCCUGCAACUUUCGGUUACAGGUAGCCGUAGACUCCAGUACUAGCCUGCAACUGAAAAUAACCGCUGUAUUGGCUGGAUGCAGGAACAACAGCAGGUAAGAACAGCAGAAGUGUGCUAGUUCCAAGAUUCGAUUUUUCUUUUGUUCGAUUUCUCAUUUCUCUCCCCAGUUCAUGUUCUAUCGGCACGAGAAAUUUACAUCAGACGACGGCUAUAAGAAUCUGUACAUUUUUUUGAUCGCUCUCUCUCCACUCUCCCUACGGAAAACACGCACGCGAAGAAGGGAAGCAAAAACUAGUGAUGUCACACGGGAAACCGGCACGAAAGAAACCAGCAGCAGCCUCAG
rnacentral:lncRNA from 1 species